rnacentral:rRNA from 1 species
AGUAACGCGUAGGAAUCUACCCGGUAGUGGGGGACAACUCGGGGAAACUCGAGCUAAUACCGCAUACGCCCUGAGGGGGAAAGCGGGGGACCUUAUGGGCCUCGCGCUAUCGGAUGAGCCUGCGUUGGAUUAGCUGGUUGGUGGGGUAAAGGCCUACCAAGGCGACGAUCCAUAGCUGGUCUGAGAGGAUGAUCAGCCACACCGGGACUGAGACACGGCCCGGACUCCUACGGGAGGCAGCAGUGGGGAAUAUUGCGCAAUGGGCGAAAGCCUGACGCAGCCAUGCCGCGUGUGUGAAGAAGGCCUUCGGGUUGUAAAGCACUUUCACUUGGGAGGAAACGUUCACGGUUAAUACCCGUGAGCCUUGACGUUACCUUGAGAAGAAGCACCGGCUAACUCCGUGCCAGCAGCCGCGGUAAUACGGAGGGUGCGAGCGUUAAUCGGAAUUACUGGGCGUAAAGCGCGCGUAGGCGGUUUGUUAAGUCGGAUGUGAAAGCCCCGGGCUCAACCUGGGAAUUGCAUCCGAUACUGGCCGACUGGAGUGCGAGAGAGGGAGGUAGAAUUCCACGUGUAGCGGUGAAAUGCGUAGAUAUGUGGAGGAAUACCAGUGGCGAAGGCGGCCUCCUGGCUCGACACUGACGCUGAGGUGCGAAAGCGUGGGUAGCAAACAGGAUUAGAUACCCUGGUAGUCCACGCCGUAAACGAUGUCGACUAGCCGUUGGGGAACUUGAGUCCUUGGUGGCGCAGUUAACGCGCUAAGUCGACCGCCUGGGGAGUACGGCCGCAAGGUUAAAACUCAAAUGAAUUGACGGGGGCCCGCACAAGCGGUGGAGCAUGUGGUUUAAUUCGAUGCAACGCGAAGAACCUUACCAGGCCUUGACAUCCCCGGAAUCCUGCAGAGAUGCGGGAGUGCCUUCGGGAAUCGGGUGACAGGUGCUGCAUGGCUGUCGUCAGCUCGUGUCGUGAGAUGUUGGGUUAAGUCCCGUAAGGAGCGCAACCCUUGUCAUUAGUUGCCAGCACUUUGGGUGGGAACUUUAAGGAGACUUCCGUUGACAAACCGGAGGAAGGUGGGGAAGAUAUCAAGUCAUCAUGUCCCU